rnacentral:rRNA from 1 species
UAGUAUCAGCGUGUCAGCAGCCGCGGUAAUACGGAGGGGGCUAGCGUUAUUCGGAAUUACUGGGCGUAAAGCGCACGUAGGCGGCUUUGUAAGUCAGAGGUGAAAGCCUGGAGCUCAACUCCAGAACUGCCUUUGAGACUGCAUCGCUUGAAUCCAGGAGAGGUGAGUGGAAUUCCGAGUGUAGAGGUGAAAUUCGUAGAUAUUCGGAAGAACACCAGUGGCGAAGGCGGCUCACUGGACUGGUAUUGACGCUGAGUGCGAAAGCGUGGGGAGCAAACAGGAUUAGAUACCCUGGUAGUCCACGCCGUAAACGAUGAUAACUAGCUGUCUGGGCACUUGGUGUUCAGGUGGCGCAGCUAACGCAUUAAGUUAUCCGCCUGGGGAGUACGGCCG